GAUGAACGCUGGCGGCGUGCCUAAUACAUGCAAGUCGAGCGAACAGACGAGGAGCUUGCUCCUCUGACGUUAGCGGCGGACGGGUGAGUAACACGUGGAUAACCUACCUAUAAGACUGGGAUAACUUCGGGAAACCGGAGCUAAUACCGGAUAAUAUAUUGAACCGCAUGGUUCAAUAGUGAAAGACGGUUUUGCUGUCACUUAUAGAUGGAUCCGCGCCGCAUUAGCUAGUUGGUAAGGUAACGGCUUACCAAGGCAACGAUGCUUAGCCGACCUGAGAGGGUGAUCGGCCACACUGGAACUGAGACACGGUCCAGACUCCUACGGGAGGCAGCAGUAGGGAAUCUUCCGCAAUGGGCGAAAGCCUGACGGAGCAACGCCGCGUGAGUGAUGAAGGUCUUCGGAUCGUAAAACUCUGUUAUUAGGGAAAAACAAAUGUGUAAGUAACUAUGCACGUCUUGACGGUACCUAAUCAGAAAGCCACGGCUAACUACGUG
rnacentral:rRNA from 1 species